GAUUGAACGCUGGCGGCGUGCCUAACACAUGCAAGUCGAGCGGUAACAGGUGUAGCAAUACAUGCGUGACGAGCGGCGGACGGGUGAGUAACGCUUGGGAAUCUGCCUAUUAGUGGGGGACAACCCGGGGAAACUCGGGCUAAUACCGCAUACGCUCUACGGAGGAAAGCCGGGGACCGCAAGGCCUGGCGCUAAUAGAUGAGCCCAAGUCGGAUUAGCUAGUUGGUAGGUAAUGGCCUACCAAGGCGACGAUCCGUAACUGGU
rnacentral:rRNA from 1 species